GAUGAACGCUGGCGGCGUGCCUAAUACAUGCAAGUCGAGCGAACAGACGAGGAGCUUGCUCCUCUGACGUUAGCGGCGGACGGGUGAGUAACACGUGGAUAACCUACCUAUAAGACUGGGAUAACUUCGGGAAACCGGAGCUAAUACCGGAUAAUAUAUUGAACCGCAUGGUUCAAUAAUGAAAGACGGUUUUGCUGUCACUUAUAGAUGGAUCCGCGCCGCAUUAGCUAGUUGGUAAGGUAACGGCUUACCAAGGCGACGAUGCGUAGCCGACCGGAUAGGGUGAUCGGCCACACUGGAACUGAGACACGGUCCAGACUCCUACGGGAGGCAGCAGUAGGGAAUCUUCCGCAAUGGGCGAAAGCCUGACGGAGCAACGCCGCGUGAGUGAUGAAGGUCUUCGGAUCGUAAAACUCUGUUAUUAGGGAAGAACAAAUGUGUAAGUAACUAUGCACGUCUUGACGGUACCUAAUCAGAAAGCCACGGCUAACUACGUG
rnacentral:rRNA from 1 species